GACCUCAGAUCAGACGAGAUGACCCGCUGAAUUUAAGCAUAUCAAUAAGGCGGA
rnacentral:rRNA from 1 species